ACGCACGCUGGCGGCGUGCCUCAUCCCUGCCAGUCGAGCGGACGGAUGGGAGCUUGCUCCCAGACCGUCAGCGGCGGACGGGUGAGUAACACGUGGGCAACCUGCCUGUAAGACUGGGAUAACUCCGGGAAACCGGGGCUAAUACCGGAUAACUCUUUCCCUCACAUGAGGGAAAGCUGAAAGAUGGCAUCUCGCUAUCACUUACAGAUGGGCCCGCGGCGCAUUAGCUAGUUGGUGAGGUAACGGCUCACCAAGGCGACGAUGCGUAGCCGACCUGAGAGGGUGAUCGGCCACACUGGGACUGAGACACGGCCCAGACUCCUACGGGAGGCAGCAGUAGGGAAUCUUCCGCAAUGGACGAAAGUCUGACGGAGCAACGCCGCGUGAGUGAUGAAGGUUUUCGGAUCGUAAAACUCUGUUGUCAGGGAAGAACAAGUACCGGAGUAACUGCCGGUACCUUGACGGUACCUGACCAGAAAGCCACGGCUAACUACGUG
rnacentral:rRNA from 1 species